rnacentral:lncRNA from 10 species
CUCCCACGCUGUUGGGGCGGGGGCGGGGGGGGGGUUGUUCUUUUGCUCCUUGGGUCCACACUGCGUUUAUGAGCUGUAAUAUUCACCGCAAAGGUCUGCAGCUUCACUACUAAGCCAACGAGACCACAAACCCACCAGGAGGAACGACAAUUCCAGACGCGUGGCUUUAACAGCUGUUAACACUCACCGCGAAGGUCUGUAGCUUCAUUUCUGAGUCAGCGAGACCACGAACCCACCAGAAAGAAGAAACUCCGAACACACCCGAACCUCAGAAGGAACAAAUUCCGGACACGCCGCCUUUAAGAACUGUAACACUCACCACAAGGGUCCGCGGCUUCAUUCUUGAAGUCAGUGAGACCAAGAACCCACUAAUUCCGGACACACUUUGACCAGCAGAGCAGGCAGAAGUAAAGCCACGGUUCACAGAAGUGGAACCCUUCCCCAGACCACAGCUUUAACAGCCGAUCUUCAGAAGCCAGAGACAGGAGGUCCUGACAAAGGGCAGUCCAGCUCUGCAUUCAUCUAACAGCAAAAGCUGGUUGCACAGCCACCCAGGGCUU